AGAGUUUGAUCCUGGCUCAGGACGAACGCUGGCGGCGUGCUUAACACAUGCAAGUCGAACGGUGAUCCAGGGCUUGCUCUGGUGAUCAGUGGCGAACGGGUGAGUAACACGUGAGUAACCUGCCCCUGACUCUGGGAUAACUGCUGGAAACGGUGGCUAAUACCGGAUAUGAGACCUUGCCGCAUGGUAUGGGUUUGGAAAGAUUUUUUGGUCAGGGAUGGGCUCGCGGCCUAUCAGCUUGUUGGUGGGGUGAUGGCCUACCAAGGCGACGACGGGUAGCCGGCCUGAGAGGGCGACCGGCCACACUGGGACUGAGACACGGCCCAGACUCCUACGGGAGGCAGCAGUGGGGAAUAUUGCACAAUGGGCGCAAGCCCGAUGCAGCGACGCCGCGUGAGGGAUGAAGGCCUUCGGGUUGUAAACCUCUUUCAGCAGGGAAGAAGCGUAAGUGACGGUACCUGCAGAAGAAGCGCCGGCUAACUACGUG
rnacentral:rRNA from 1 species